GGGCUUGACAUCCCACGAACCUGCCCGAAAAGGUGGGGUGCCCGCAAGGGAGCGUGGAGACAGGUGGUGCAUGGCUGUCGUCAGCUCGUGUCGUGAGAUGUUGGGUUAAGUCCCGCAACGAGCGCAACCCUCACCCCUAGUUGCCACCGGGUUAAGCCGAGCACUCAAGGGGAACUGCCAGCGUCAAGCUGGAGGAAGGCGGGGAUGACGUCAAGUCAUCAUGCCCCUUACGCCCUGGGCUACACACGCGCUACAAUGGCCAGUACAAAGGGACGCGAGACUGCGAAGUGGAGCUAAUCCCAAAAAGCUGGUCUAAGUUCAGAUUGCAGUCUGCAACUCGACUGCAUGAAGGAGGAAUCGCUAGUAAUCGCGUAUCAGCCCGGCGCGGUGAAUACGUUCCCGGGCCUUGUACACACCGCCCGUCACACCACGAAAGCUGUCUGUACUCGAAGUCGCUGAG
rnacentral:rRNA from 1 species